rnacentral:rRNA from 1 species
GAUGAACGCUGGCGGCGUGCCUAAUACAUGCAAGUCGAGCGAACAGACGAGGAGCUUGCUCCUCUGACGUUAGCGGCGGACGGGUGAGUAACACGUGGAUAACCUACCUAUAAGACUGGGAUAACUUCGGGAAACCGGAGCUAAUACCGGAUAAUAUAUUGAACCGCAUGGUUCAAUAGUGAAAGACGGUUUUGCUGUCACUUAUAGAUGGAUCCGCGCCGCAUUAGCUAGUUGGUAAGGUAACGGCUUACCAAGGCAACGAUGCGUAGCCGACCUGAGAGGGUGGUCGGCCACACUGGAACUGAGACGCGGUCCAGACUCCUACGGGAGGCAGCAGUAGGGAAUCUUCCGCAAUGGGCGGAAGCCUGACGGAGCAACGCCGCGUGAGUGAUGAAGGUCUUCGGAUCGUAAAACUCUGUUAUUAGGGAAGAACAAAUGUGUAAGUAACUAUGCACGUCUUGACGGUACCUAAUCAGAAAGCCACGGCUAACUACGUG